rnacentral:lncRNA from 1 species
UUAAAAAAUCGUGCAUGGUUUUUUGAGUACUUUCCACCCGAGUGUUACUUUGGCGACCACAAUCCUGAUUGAGGGCUGUCUUUCACCCUUUUAUAAGUUCUUCCCUAUUUUUCCAUUAAGAGUCAAUUCUGUGUACUGUAUUCGUCGAGCUUAAUCUUUCUUCAUCGCAUUUACUUACUGAAUUUUAAUAAAAACAUAUUAAUUUUUCCAAAAUAGAAGAGAAAGAUAUCUAAAAAGUUUUUUUCUUCCUACUUUGGUUGCAUUAUAAAUGCCGAGUGCUUUGAAAAUUUUGUGUCUGGUUUGAAGGCCCAAUUUUAGUGCAAAGGUUUUUUUUUCAAAAAUCUAUAAGUAAGGUACGUAAAAGGAGAUUGUUAAAAGGGAUAUCUCCUCCCACGAUGGACCGAGAGAAGUACCAAACAUACCUGCAAAAGCGUGAGAAACUGGACAAACUCUUAGUGCAAUACAACUCGCUGACUAGGGAAUUGAAGGACCAGCAGGCAUUCAACAGAGAGCUUAAGACAUUUUCGAAAAAUUUCUCCGGAGAGAAUGUGUCUGCAGAUGUAGAAAAAUCUACAACCUACGAUGGCAAGCAGAAUGCACCGCAACGCGUGGAUAGAUAUGGAAGCAAGUAGUCAUGGUUCAAGGAAUUUAGGUGCUGGGAAAUCUUCCAUCUUGCUGCGAAAUAACUGCGGGCGGCAUGACCGCCGGAGUGAAGGCGCCGUGGGGAGCCCUCCUCGCCCUCGCGCUGGCCUGCGCCGGAACCACCGGCAGCGAAGAUGACUGUGCAAUCGCACCGCCCUUCCACCACAUCCCCGGGACCUACACCGUCACAGGUAUAUUCGACAUUCACCACGGAGCGAACUGCAGUCAGGUUAACGAAAAUGGUUUUGCCAUGAUGACGUCAGCGAUACACACAAUCCGGUUGCUCAAUGACAUUCAGUACAUUCCUGGAGUUGACGUAGGCCUGCUCAUCUACGAUACUUGUUCGAAACAAGAGGAGGCACAGAAAGCGGUCGUCCAAUCACAUGUCAUGAAUGAGUGCACAUUAUCAGUUAGCCUAGGAAUCCUCACAACGGCAAGGAUAGCGGAGGAGCUGAAAAAUUUAUCGCAAGCGCUGCAGCUGAAUCUGAGCGUGGUGCCUGAACCGGUGGACACCCAAGUCCUUAUCGAUUCCACCGUUGAGCUCCUCACCGUCCUGGGAAAGAAAGUCGUUGACGUCAUCAUCUCAGACGAUGCGGAUUUCUCGCAAGGGCUCGUGAGCGCUAUCACGAAAAGGAAAAUUUGCGUGAGAAAAACUACCGAUAUGGAUAAUGCUGUGUACGUUCCAGAAAUCACCCUUCAAUGCUACACUGAGAAAAAUAUUUGUGUUACUUUCGGUUGAUAUAGGAAGUGAAACACAAACCAACACAAAUUUUGUGUUGAUUUUGGU